rnacentral:rRNA from 1 species
UUCUCCUGGGGAAAAGGGUGGUAAUGCCGGAUGCUCCAGUUGAUCGCAUGGUCUUCUGGGAAAGCUUUCGCGGUAUGGGAUGGGGUCGCGUCCUAUCAGCUUGACGGCGGGGUAACGGCCCACCGUGGCUUCGACGGGUAGCCGGCCUGAGAGGGCGACCGGCCACAUUGGGACUGAGAUACGGCCCAGACUCCUACGGGAGGCAGCAGUGGGGAAUAUUGCACAAUGGGCGCAAGCCUGAUGCAGCGACGCCGCGUGAGGGAUGGAGGCCUUCGGGUUGUAAACCUCUUUUAUCGGGGAGCAAGCGAGAGUGAGUUUACCCGUUGAAUAAGCACCGGCUAACUACGUGCCAGCAGCCGCGGUAAUACGUAGGGUGCAAGCGUUAUCCGGAAUUAUUGGGCGUAAAGGGCUCGUAGGCGGUUCGUCGCGUCCGGUGUGAAAGUCCAUCGCUUAACGGUGGAUCCGCGCCGGGUACGGGCGGGCUUGAGUGCGGUAGGGGAGACUGGAAUUCCCGGUGUAACGGUGGAAUGUGUAGAUAUCGGA